rnacentral:rRNA from 1 species
GGCUCAGGACGAACGCUGGCGGCGUGCUUAACACAUGCAAGUCGAACGGUGACGACGGGGCUUGCCCUGUCUGAUCAGUGGCGAACGGGUGAGUAACACGUGAGUAACCUGCCCUUGACUCUGGGAUAACCGCGGGAAACGGCGGCUAAUACCGGAUAUGAGACGUACAGGCAUCUGUUGCGUCUGGAAAGAUUUAUCGGUCAAGGAUGGGCUCGCGGCCUAUCAGCUUGUUGGUGGGGUGAAGGCCUACCAAGGCGACGACGGGUAGCCGGCCUGAGAGGGCGACCGGCCACACUGGGACUGAGACACGGCCCAGACUCCUACGGGAGGCAGCAGUGGGGAAUAUUGCACAAUGGGCGCAAGCCUGAUGCAGCGACGCCGCGUGAGGGAUGAAGGCCUUCGGGUUGUAAACCUCUUUCAGCAGGGAAGAA